rnacentral:lncRNA from 1 species
GGGUGGACGGGACUCCCACGGGAGUCGGACUUCGUCCCUGACUUCUACUGCAGGUGGACUUCAUCUGGACUCCCACGGGAGCCAGACUUCGUCCCUGACUUCUACUGCAGGUGGACUUCAUCCGAACUCUCACGGGAGCCGGACUUCAUCCCUGACUUCUGCUGUAGAUGAACUUCGUCCGGACUCCUACGGGAGUCGGAUUUCGUCCC